rnacentral:rRNA from 1 species
UGCUGCGGCCCCAAGCGAUGUUCGGAUUUACUGGGCGUAAAGGGUGCGUAGGCGGUCGGGUAAGUUCGAUGUGAAAUCUCCAGGCUCAACCUGGAAACUGCAUUGAAUACCAUCCGGCUGGAGGGUUGGAGGGGAGACUGGAAUUCUCGGUGUAGCAGUGAAAUGCGUAGAUAUCGAGAGGAACACCAGUGGCGAAGGCGAGUCUCCGGACAACUCCUGACGAUGAGGCACGAAAGCCAGGGGAGCAUACAGG